GACGAACGCUGGCGGCGUGCUUAACACAUGCCAGUCGAACGGAAAGGCCCUGCUUUUGUGGGGUGCUCGAGUGGCGAACGGGUGAGUAACACGUGAGUAACCUGCCCUUGACUUUGGGAUAACUUCAGGAAACUGGGGCUAAUACCGGAUAGGAGCUCCUGCUGCAUGGUGGGGGGUGGAAAGUUUCGGCGGUUGGGGAUGGACUCGCGGCUUAUCAGCUUGUUGGUGGGGUAGUGGCUUACCAAGGCUUUGACGGGUAGCCGGCCUGAGAGGGUGACCGGCCACAUUGGGACUGAGAUACGGCCCAGACUCCUACGGGAGGCAGCAGUGGGGAAUAUUGCACAAUGGGCGGAAGCCUGAUGCAGCAACGCCGCGUGCGGGAUGACGGCCUUCGGGUUGUAAACCGCUUUCGCCUGUGACGAAGCGUGAGUGACGGUAAUGGGUAAAGAAGCACCGGCUAACUACGUG
rnacentral:rRNA from 1 species